rnacentral:rRNA from 1 species
UGAGGAAUAUUGGUCAAUGGACGCAAGUCUGAACCAGCCAUGCCGCGUGCAGGAUGACGGCUCUAUGAGUUGUAAACUGCUUUUGUACGAGGGUAAACGCAGAUACGUGUAUCUGUCUGAAAGUAUCGUACGAAUAAGGAUCGGCUAACUCCGUGCCAGCAGCCGCGGUAAUACGGAGGAUUCAAGCGUUAUCCGGAUUUAUUGGGUUUAAAGGGUGCGUAGGCGGUUUGAUAAGUUAGAGGUGAAAUUU